rnacentral:rRNA from 1 species
UGGGGAAUAUUGGACAAUGGGCGCAAGCCUGAUCCAGCCAUGCCGCGUGUGUGAAGAAGGCCUUCGGGUUGUAAAGCACUUUUGUCCGGGAAGAAAUCUUCCGAGCCAAUACCUCGGGAGGAUGACGGUACCGGAAGAAUAAGCACCGGCUAACUUCGUGCCAGCAGCCGCGGUAAUACGAAGGGUGCAAGCGUUACUCGGAAUUACUGGGCGUAAAGCGUGCGUAGGUGGUUCGUUAAGUCUGCCGUGAAAGCCCCGGGCUCAACCUGGGAAUGGCGGUGGAUACUGGCGGACUAGAGUGCGGUAGAGGGUGGUGGAAUUCCCGGUGUAGCAGUGAAAUGCGUAGAGAUCGGGAGGAACAUCUGUGGCGAAGGCGGCCACCUGGACCAGCACUGACACUGAGGCACGAAAGCGUGGGGAGCAAACA